GGAUAAGAGGGCAAUCUGGCUUGACAUGUCACCCACAGAUCCUCAGGUUCAUCCAGUUGAUUUGGCUGGCUUGGGUGGCAGCCCCAUCCCUCAUGGCCCCAGGUAGUCUCUCUCAAAGUUGUACAUAUAUUGGAAUACAGUGACAUUUCCAAGAAGCAGAGAAUCAUUCUUUUGCCAAGGAUUUACCAGUAGCUGACGAGAAUAUUUCACUUCACCUCAAGAAAUUACAACAAUGCAUUUAGACCCUUAUGUCACACCAU
rnacentral:snRNA from 1 species